CCCUUAGAUGUCCUGGGCCGCACGCGCGCUACACUGAGUGUCUGAGAUACGAGUCUGCCUGGUCCGGCAAGGUCUAGGUAAUCGCUAAAAGACACAUCAUGCUUGGGAUAGAUUAUUGCAAAUAUUAAUCUUGAACGAGGAAUUCCUAGUAAGCGCAAGUCAACAGCUUGCGAUGAUUACGUCCCUGCCCUUUGUACACACCGCCCGUCGCUACUACUGAUUGGAUGUUUAAGCGAGGUUCUCGAACUGCUAGCGACUUAGCUUCGGUGAGGUCGCAGUGUGGGAAGUGAACCUAGCUUUGGUGUCUAGAGGAAGUAAAAGUCGUAACA
rnacentral:rRNA from 1 species